rnacentral:rRNA from 1 species
CCUACGGGUGGCUGCAGUGGGGAAUAUUGCACAAUGGGCGCAAGCCUGAUGCAGCCAUGCCGCGUGUGUGAAGAAGGCCUUCGGGUUGUAAAGCACUUUCAGCGGGGAGGAAGGCGGUGAGGUUAAUAUCCUCAUCGAUUGACGUUACCCGCAGAAGAAGCACCGGCUAACUCCGUGCCAGCAGCCGCGGUAAUACGGAGGGUGCAAGCGUUAAUCGGAAUUACUGGGCGUAAAGCGCACGCAGGCGGUCUGUCAAGUCGGAUGUGAAAUCCCCGGGCUCAACCUGGGAACUGCAUUCGAAACUGGCAGGCUAGAGUCUUGUAGAGGGGGGUAGAAUUCCAGGUGUAGCGGUGAAAUGCGUAGAGAUCUGGAGGAAUACCGGUGGCGAAGGCGGCCCCCUGGACAAAGACUGACGCUCAGGUGCGAAAGCGUGGGGAGCAAACAGGAUUAGAUACCCGAGUAGUC